rnacentral:rRNA from 1 species
UGGGAAAGAUUCUAUCGGCGUGGGAUGGGGCCGCGUCCUAUCAGCUUGCUUGGUGAGGUAACGGCUCACCAAGGCUCCGACGGGUUAGCCGGCCUGAGAGGGCGACCGGCCACAUUGGGACUGAGAUACGGCCCAGACUCCUACGGGAGGCAGCAGUGGGGAAUAUUGCACAAUGGGCGCAAGCCUGAUGCAGCGACGCCGCGUGAGGGAUGGAGGCCUUCGGGUUGUAAACCUCUUUUGUUUGGGAGCAAGCCUUCGGGUGAGUGUACCUUUCGAAUAAGCGCCGGCUAACUACGUGCCAGCAGCCGCUGGUAAUACAUAUGGCGAAGGCGAUAUCCUGGAUUUAUUGUGCAUAAAGGGAUC